AUAAUGGGUCAGCGACUUAUAUUCUGUAGCAAGGUUAACCGAAUAGGGGAGCCGGAGGGAAACCGAGUCUUAAUUGGGCGUUAAGUUGCAGGGUAUAGACCCGAAACCCGGUGAUCUAGCCAUGGGCAGGUUGAAGGUUGGGUAACACUAACUGGAGGACCGAACCGACUAAUGUUGAAAAAUUAGCGGAUGACCUGUGGCUGGGGGUGAAAGGCCAAUCAAACCGGGAGAUAGCUGGUUCUCCCCGAAAGCUAUUUAGGUAGCGCCUCGUGAAUUCAUCUCCGGGGGUAGAGCACUGUUUCGGCUAGGGGGCCAUCCCGGCUUACCAACCCGAUGCAAACUGCGAAUACCGGAGAAUGUUAUCACGGGAGACACACGGCGGGUGCUAACGUCCGUCGUGAAGAGGGAAACAACCCAGACCGCCAGCUAAGGUCCCAAAGUCAUGGUUAAGUGGGAAACGAUGUGGGAAGGCCCAGACAGCCAGGAUGUUGGCUUAGAAGCAGCCAUCAUUUAAAGAAAGCGUAAUAGCUCACUGGUCGAGUCGGCCUGCGCGGAAGAUGUAACGGGGCUAAACCAUGCACCGAAGCUGCGGCAGCGACACUAUGUGUUGUUGGGUAGGGGAGCGUUCUGUAAGCCUGCGAAGGUGGCCUGUGAGGGUUGCUGGAGGUAUCAGAAGUGCGAAUGCUGACAUAAGUAACGAUAAAGCGGGUGAAAAGCCCGCUCGCCGGAAGACCAAGGGUUCCUGUCCAACGUUAAUCGGGGCAGGGUGAGUCGACCCCUAAGGCGAGGCCGAAAGGCGUAGUCGAUGGGAAACGGGUUAAUAUUCCCGUACUUGGUGUUACUGCGAAGGGGGGACGGAGAAGGCUAUGUUGGCCGGGCGACGGUUGUCCCGGUUUAAGCGUGUAGGUGUGUGUUCCAGGUAAAUCCGGUU
rnacentral:rRNA from 1 species